CUGCCAUGUUCGUUGCAGUAGAGAGCUUGUGGAUCGAGCCACCUGUCUUAUCAACGCGUUUUCAGAUCUGUCUCUCUUUACUGUCGUUGCUGUCAUUGUUGCUACCGCAGUUUUCGUCGCCAUUGCCGCCACAUUUUCUGCCGUCGAUGCCAACGUAGUUGUCGUGGUACAACGCAUUUUCAGAUCUGUUCACUUCCGAGCUUCUUCUUCAACGCCGCUUUCUCUCACUCCAAUUUCUCCUUUGGACUACCGCUGAUGAAGACAUUAGAAGGAAUUUCUUAGUUCAUAGAAAACCAUGUCAAUGACAGAUGAUGAUGCAAUGAAUUUUGGCUUUGACUCUAUUCCUAAAGGGAAGAAAAAGACAUUUGACUUUUAGAAACUGGACAUGAAUUUUAAUUUGGACAGUGAGUUAAAAAACAUAUCAUCAUUUAAGAUGGACAUGUCUGACCUUGAUUUUGCAUGCACACCCAAAAAGUCUUCCUAGUCUAAGGACCAAAAAGGAGAAUCUUCUGGUGGUGGAAAAGCAGGAAAAGAAGAUGCAUUUAAUUUCAGCUUUGAUUUUAAUGAGUUGGAUAACUUCAAUCUUGAUCCAAGCUUAAUAAAAAGAGUUGCUUCUUCCAACAAGAACCUUAGGAAAAAAGUAGUUACAGCAGAAGAAAGUGACAAUGCAGGUGCUAUUUAACUUUGUAUUCUUACACACUUGAUAUAGGAGAAGGAUAAUUCCAAGAAUCCAUUGUAUAUAGAGAAUCUGAUGGAGGAUUAUGGCACCAGCUUUAAUGAAGUGACACAAAAUUUUGAUUGCCUACACUAUUCAACUUCUAUGUGAAUGUUUUAGAGAAUAACUCUUUUAUUAGGAUCCAGUUUCAGGGAAGACCACAUUGCUAUUAGCUUGAUUGACAUUUUGCUGAAAAAUUUGGCAAAGAUUUAAAAAUUUCAUAUGGAAAGACCGCCACUAAUAAUAAUAGCAGAGGCAGAGGUAGAGGCAGAACUUGUGACACAGACCUCUGUAUACCACUGGUCAAUUGAAGGUAUGAGUUUUAAGGUUCACUAGAUGCAUUCUCUGCUUCAGUUCAUGAAUAUAAAAUACCUCCUAAAGGUCUUCUGGGAUUGUAUUUAUGUUUUUAUUUUGAGGUUUUUAUGUAAUUAGAUGAUAUUGAAAUAUUGAAGUUGUUUUAUUUUACUUUUUAAAGAAAAACAAUAAUAGUUAUGUAGAACA